rnacentral:rRNA from 1 species
UGCUUCUUUGCUGACGAGUGGCGGACGGGUGAGUAAUGUCUGGGAAACUGCCUGAUGGAGGGGGAUAACUACUGGAAACGGUAGCUAAUACCGCAUAACGUCGCAAGACCAAAGAGGGGGACCUUCGGGCCUCUUGCCAUCGGAUGUGCCCAGAUGGGAUUAUCUAGUAGGUGGGGUAACGGCUCACCUAGGCGACGAUCCCUAUCUGGUCUGAGAGGAUGACCACCCACACUGGAACUGAGACACGGUCCAGACUCCUACGGGAGGCAGCAGUGGGGAAUAUUGCACAAUGGGCGCAAGCCUGAUGCACCCAUGCCGCGUGUAUGAAGAAGGCCUUCGGGUUGUAAAGUACUUUCAGCGGGGAGGAAGGGAGUAAAGUUAAUACCUUUGCUCAUUGACGUUACCCGCAGAAGAAGCACCGGCUAACUCCGUGCCAGCAGCCGCGGUAAUACGGAGGGUGCAAGCGUUAAUCGGAAUUACUGGGCGUAAAGCGCACGCAGGCGGUUUGUUAAGUCAUAUGUGAAAUCCCCGGGCUCAACCUGGGAACUGCAUCUGAUACUGGCAAGCUUGAGUCUCGUAGAGGGGGGUAGAAUUCCAGGUGUAGCGGUGAAAUGCGUAGAGAUCUGGAGGAAUACCGGUGGCGAAGGCGGCCCUCUGGACGAAGACUGACGCUCAGGUGCGAAAGCGUGGGGAGCAAACAGGAUUAUAUACUCUGGUAGUCCACGCCGUAAACGAUGUCGACUUGGAGGUUGUGCCCUUGAGGCGUGGCUUCCGGAGCUAACGCGUUAAGUCGACCGCCUGGAGAGUACGGCCGCAAGGAUAAAACUCAAAUGAAUUGACGGGGGGCCCCGCACAAGCGGGUGGAGCAUGUGGUUUUUAUUUCUGAUGCAACGCGAAGAACCUUUACCUGGUCUUGACAUCCACAGAACUUUUUCAGAUGAUG